rnacentral:rRNA from 1 species
CGCGUAGGCGGCCUUCUAAGUCGAACGUGAAAUCCCCGGGCUCAACCCGGGAAUUGCGUCCGAUACUGGAGGGCUUGAAUCCGGGAGAGGGAUGCGGAAUUCCAGGUGUAGCGGUGAAAUGCGUAGAUAUCGGGAGGAACACCUGUGGCGAAAGCGGCGCACUGGACCAUAACUGACGCUGAUGCGCGAAAGCUAGGGGAGCAAACA